rnacentral:rRNA from 1 species
GACGAACGCUGGCGGCGUGCCUAACACAUGCAAGUCGAACGAGGUCCUUCUUGGUGGCAACACCUUGAGGUACCUAGUGGCGAACGGGUGAGUAACACGUGAGGAACCUACCCCGAAGACCGGGAUAACCCUCCGAAAGGGGUGCUAAUACCGGAUGUCCCCACCAGAUCGCAUGAUUCGGUGAGGAAAUGGAUUCCGCUUCGGGAGGGCCUCGCGGCCUAUCAGCUAGUUGGUGGGGUAACGGCCCACCAAGGCAUCGACGGGUAGCUGGUCUGAGAGGACGAUCAGCCACACUGGGACUGAGACACGGCCCAGACUCCUACGGGAGGCAGCAGUGGGGAAUCUUGCGCAAUGGGCGAAAGCCUGACGCAGCAACGCCGCGUGGGGGAUGAAGGCUCUCGGGUCGUAAACCCCUUUCAGCAGGGACGAAUUUUGACGGUACCUGCAGAAGAAGCCCCGGCUAACUACGUG